UACGGAGGGUGCAAGCGUUAUCCGGAUUCACUGGGUUUAAAGGGUGCGUAGGUGGGAAUGUAAGUCAGUGGUGAAAUCUCCGUGCUUAACAUGGAACUGCCAUUGAUACUAUGUUUCUUGAAUUUUCUGGAGGUAAGCGGAAUAUGUCAUGUAGCGGUGAAAUGCUUAGAUAUGACAUAGAACACCAAUUGCGAAGGCAGCUUACUACACAAAUAUUGACGCUGAGGCACGAAAGCGUGGGGAUCAAACAGG
rnacentral:rRNA from 1 species